rnacentral:rRNA from 1 species
CGUAGGUAGAGAAUACUAAGGCGAAGAGAUAAUACUUGUAAAGGAACUCGGCAAAUUAUCUUCAUAAGUUAGACGACAUGAAGAACCCUCUAUUAAUUAUAUAAAAAAUUGUUAAAUUCUUUGUUAUUAAUCUUAUAAAUUUUAUUUUUUUAAUUAUAUUAAAUCAAUAAAAUAAUAAUUAAAGAUACUUAAAAUUUUGUAUAAUUAGGAUGGUGUCACAAAAUCGGAGGCCCCGACUGUUUACUUAAAACACAGCUUUCUGCAACGAUUAAUAUCUUUGUAUAGGAAGCGAAUUUUGCCCAAUGCCAUUAAUAUAAUGUUGAUAACCUUUUUAGUGUUUAUUGAUUGAAGUUCUGGUCAAUGGCGGUCUUAACCAUGAGGAUCCUAAGGUAGCAAAAUUAAUUGUCCAUUAAAUGUGGUCCCGACUGAAUAAAGUAACGAUGGUCUCACUGUCUCUACAAGUAUCUCAGGAAAUUGAAUUAGCCGUGCAGAUGCGGUUUAACUUCGGGUAGACGGGAAGACCCUAUGCA